rnacentral:lncRNA from 1 species
UUAUCUUUUUCUUUUACUGAAUUCAUGAUACAAAAAAAAAAUUUAAGUAAAGCACGUGCAGCAGAAUUUAUUAUUAUUAUUAUUUAUUUAUUUUUAAUUCUGCACCCACUAAUUGAAAUUACAAAAGAGAAAAAAAAGGAAAGGAAGACAAAAUAACCUAUGUUAGCAAACCUAAAUACCCAACAUCGUAAAAAAGAAAACAACCGUCGCGAUUGCAGAGUUGUAAAUGGCAGGGUCGUAAAUGGAAGCA